GGCAGGUUUAAUGUUAAGUCAUGGGAGAGAUUAAAUGUAUUUUGAGAGACAACAGCUUGUAUGACAACAGGAAAACAAAGGGGGUGUUGGAGAUACACGUCUAAUGAGUGAAGAUCAAGGGUUCUGGGGAGAAUCUUUCUUUUGACAAGAAGCAGAGGAAGAUAAAAAGGAGGGUUUGUGGGCUGUUCACAGUGGCUCUCAAAAGCCUUGUCCUUCCAGAAGCCCUUCCAGGAGAACUCAUGGCUCAGUCCCUGAAAACACAAACCAUGGAUAUUGUUGGUUCUGAUUUGCACGGCCUAAUGCAGCUCUACACCCCUAGUACCGCUGCUUCCAGAGCUCACUCACUUCUUUGCCUUGCUGUUGAGGCCUCAGCAUUUUCAAACCGCAAUGGCAACGUCUCAACUAAAGCCACAGGCCAAUUGAAGGUUUCAACAGUCCGACCCAAGGUACCUACUUGUUUUUUUACUCAAACUCGUCCAAGAAUUAGUGUCUGAUCUCUGAAAUCUACCCAAUGUUGUUUUAGCUUUGAAGCAUGCUGAAUUUGUGUCCUGUCCUUCGUAUUCUGCGUGCUUUUCCCCUAUAUCGCACAGGCUGUGAUCGGACUUCAUUUUAGUCAUUUUAAAGCUUCCACUGCUACCACCAUUUUAUAUUAUCCUUUAUAAGAACAUUGCUGCUAGAUUUCUUAGCUACUAUUUCUAUGUGAUCCAUUCCCUACUGAAGUCCAGGGCUGAGGCGUUCAAGUCAGGUGACCCUGGUCUACUCAGGAAAUCUGGGUACAAUCUUUGCAAGACCAUCAGGAAUGCGAAUAGAUGAUACCAGGCUAAACUACAGUCCCUGACGAACUACACAAACUCAUCAAUUGUGAUAUAAUAGGCCACAAAGCAAAGUCAAGUAAAAUCACAACAUU